UACGGGGGGGCAAGCGUUGUUCGGAAUUACUGGGCGUAAAGGGCGCGUAGGCGGCCUUCUAAGUCGGACGUGAAAUCCCUCGGCUCAACCGAGGAACUGCGUCUGAUACUGGAAGGCUUGAAUCCGGGAGAGGGAUGUGGAAUUCCAGGUGUAGCGGUGAAAUGCGUAGAUAUCUGGAGGAAUACCGGUGGCGAAGGCGGCAUCCUGGACCGGCAUUGACGCUGAGGAGCGAAAGCCAGGGGAGCAAAGCGGG
rnacentral:rRNA from 1 species